rnacentral:rRNA from 1 species
CCUACGGGAGGCAGCAGUGGGGAAUAUUGCGCAAUGGGCGAAAGCCUGACGCAGCGACGCCGCGUGAGGGAUGAAGGUCUUCGGAUCGUAAACCUCUGUCAGCAGGGAAGAACGGUCACUGUGCUAAUCAGCAGUGAAUUUACGGUAUCUGCAAAGGAAGCACCGGCUAACUCCGUGCCAGCAGCCGCGGGAAUACGGAGGGUGCGAGCGUUAAUCGGAUUUACUGGGCGUAAAGGGCUCGUAGGCGGUAUGUCAAGUCAAGGGUGAAAUCCCCGCGCUCAACGUGGGAACUGCCUUUGAAACUGGCAAACUUGAGUGUGUGAGAGGAUAGUGGAAUUCCAGGUGUAGGAGUGAAAUCCGUAGAUAUCUGGAGGAACAUCAGUGGCGAAGGCGACUAUCUGGCACAUAACUGACGCUGAGGAGCGAAAGCGUGGGUAGCAAACAGGAUUAGAUACCCUAGUAGUC